GCAUACCCGGAAGCUACCGAGAUGGAGAGAGAGAGGAACAGGACAAACAAACAAAGCGCUCAUCCACAACAUCGAUAAGUCUUUUCUACAUAACAGACAGAACAAUCAGCUGCGUCGUUUCGGAGCUGGUCGGAAGCCAUAGGAUGAGCCAUCAUGAAAGAAAACUUCCGAGAUUUCUCCACAUCCCUGCUUACAAGUGUAUCCGCUAGCAGCUUGCUAUGAGAUGGAAGGAGAAGCACAGUGUUGUUAGAGAUGGAGAACAUUCAGAGCAGGGAAGCAGCAGAGAUAGUAUUAAAUGUCUAAUACAGCACAAGAAUGGAACCGUUCACAUUGUAGCAAAAUAAAAGGUCUUCUUUAAAAGUCAGAACUCUAUGAAGAAUAUGUCCAGGUAGGAACCCUGCUUGAAUGAAAUCAAAGCAGGUUUAUUUCUGUGUGUAUUUAUUUCAGCUCGUACACAUUGUGUAUUACAGGGGGAGGGGGAGCUAUGGAUUGCACCUAUAAUAAAAGAGAAUUCACCUGCA